AUGCCUAUGGCACAAUCGGACGUCGUCGUCGCAGUUAGGGAAAUCCCUAACGAUAUGCUACAGGAAAUCCUGAUGAAGCUGCCGACCAAGGACGUGGCCCGCUGCUGCUGCGUCUCCAGGCAGUGGCGCAGCGCCCUCGGAGACCCCUCCUUCCGCAAGCUCCACGCAGCGAGCCAUGCCGCGCUCUCGGCAGAGCCCGAGUUCUUGCGCUUAUCCGGUGUACCAUGCGGUAUCGGCCAGAGCGUCAAGACCAGUGUCUUCAGCUUAUCGUCGGAUAAACCCAUGUGCUCCAUCGCCAAGCCCGAAGGUUACGGCCUCGCCGACAUCUGCAACGGCCUCCUUUGCUUCGUGGACGAGCACGGUGCUCAGGCACCGGCGCUGGUGUGCAACCCCGUCACCGGCGAGACGCUGGAGCUUCCGGCGGCCCCUCCGCUCAGCAACAAGGAUCAUGCGUAUUUCUUUGCCUUUGGGUUCAGUCCGCCCACCAACGAGUACAAGCUCUUCCGUCUCUCUUUCCCGCUAUGCUCGUACUCCUCCGAAGAACAACGGGUGAACGUGGACGUCUACACCUUGGGUGACGCCCGCGGAUGGCGCAAAGACUCGUUCCUCUCAUCCUCUCGCCCACUAACCAGAGGAAAUGACACUUCGACGCCAGUACUGAUCGAUGGUAAACUUCACUCUAACACCAAAGGCUGGAAUGCACCCAUGUGGCAGGUGGCUGCCGGAGUGCUGGUAGUGGACGUGCCUACCGAGACGUGCCACGCCUACCCUCUCCCGGACGAUCUCGGGACCUAUCGAUACGAUAAUCCACUGGCCUUUGAGCUCAAGGGGCAGCUGUGCCUCGCCGCACACGUGCUCAACAGCUAUAAUCGCCCCAAGGCCCUCCGCUUCUGGGUCAUGGCCACGGAGAACAAGGAAUCGGACAGCGAGAAGGAGCCGCACUGGGAGUUGCGCUACAGCUUCUUCGUGCAGGUGGAACCUCCGAUCCCCAUUCGAUGGCCAUGGAGCUGUGUGUCCUGGAGUGCAUGGUUUCAACAUGAGACGCUCUUCUACACGUGCAACGACACCUUGUACAAGUAUGACACGAGGUCGUCCGUUCCUGACCACGGUCGACUGCUGCAGUGGGACAAGCAGCUCCAACGGAUACCGCCAUAUGAAUGGCUAUGGUUCAUCCAUCGGGGUUACCGUCCAACUCUGGUCUCGCCUCGCAUCUUUGAAUUACCACCGUCACAAGACGAGACGAUAAUGGACGUAUGCUCUUAA
rnacentral:rRNA from 1 species